UUAGAGGUGGUGCAGUGGUUAGCACUGCUGCCUCCUAGUUAGUAGGUUGCUGGUUCAAGGCCAGUAGGUGAAU